rnacentral:lncRNA from 1 species
AUAAAUUUCCCUCUUAGCUCUGCUCUUACUGCAUUCCGUACCAUGGGUUGGCAACCUCCUGCAUCUCAUGCUGCACCAUCUAACACUGCCUUUGGCAGCCUCCAAUCUGAUGCUCAGGCUAUGCCUCCAUUCCCAUCAGUAUUCCAGCAAGUGAGAGCCAAUUCUUCAGAUUCCCACCAUCAAGCUGGAACUUUGAAGUGAAUCCUGGCAGUAAUCAGCAAAGCAUCUGUAUCCAUCCAUCUUUCACCCCCACCUUCUGACCUGGCAGAAGAAAUCACGAUGUUACCAUGGAAGACUCAGCAAUCCCAGACUGAAGCAAGAGCUUGUGCGUGUCUGAGGAGGGUGAUUCUGAGAAACCCAACAAGAGAAGCUUUGUGAAACCAAAACAAGCAGGUGCUGCUGAAAAGGCCGGUCACCUCUGUGGGUAGCAGAGGUAUCUCACUGAAAAUCUCUGGGGAGCUAUGGCCAGGGCCCCCAAGACUUAGCCAUCCAAGGGACAGACAAGGGGAGAAUUUAUUUCCUGGCUUUGUUCCCUCUUUGUUCUAUAGUCAUCUAUUUGGAGAUUAACUUUGCAGAUGUUGCAGAAGUCAGACGUGGAAAAAGCAGAUGCUACUGGCCAGAAUUGGCGUGACAGCCAGGGCUGGAUAAGAGGCCACCAGAGGUGCCAGGCCACAGAGUGGGAAGGUGUGUCCUCAGAGUUGGACUGGAGUCCAUAGCUUUAGGGACAAGCUCUCAAAUGUUCAUCUUAACUUAUAACUCAUCAUCCAACCUCACAGAUCUGUUGAGGGUUUAGUAAGAAUGAAUACUACAGUGGUUUGUAAAACUGUGAGAACUAGUGAAUAUCAACUAGUCUUUCCCUGGUUGUAGGUGAUCAGCCCAAAGUACAAGAACAACAACAAAAAACCGUCUGACCCCUCUGUCAUCUGCCGUGUCUCUGCUCCCCACUUCUUGUGUCUUUUCCCUGUCCCCACAGACCUGACAGUGUCUCUUGGGGGAAUUAAAGACACUUGGAAGCUGCUACCCUGUGGAAGGGAAAGAAUAGUGUCUCCAAACAUGAAAGGAAAUUGUUCUCCUCAUAAGCAUCUUUUCCUAUAAUUGCAUCUUCCCUACUGCUCCAGCAAAUGAAGUUUAAAUAUUUAACAAGAAUGUCAGCACCAUUUGGGUGGCUGGGGCUCCCUGAAAAUGAGGCUUCAGGGGCCUGGAACCUGCAUAGACCAUGCCUGGGUUGUAGCAGGCUCUGUCCCCUCCCUCACAAGCGGGUGACCGGCCAUCAAGCACUUGGUCUGAGCUGUGACUGCUGCCCAACAUCUGCCACACAGAACCUGAUGGGGCUGCUGCCCUCAGCUGCCAGGAGUUGGGCCAUCUGGCAGGUGUCUGUUUCUCCAAACUGAAGAGUGCACAUAGCAUGGCACUGUGUUUAGUGGGGUGUGGGCCAAAUGCUGCUGCUACUCACCACCGAGAAAUGGGGGUGCUGGUCUUCAAGGCAGACAUAGCACCCCAACAGGCUGAGUGGCUUCUCCUGUCUCCUGACUUCUGCUGAUCUACCACUUUCUUUUCCAGAUAUUUUAUAAAGUAAUAAAAUAUCAAACUAUACUUACAAAGCAUAAGCAUAUCUGUAACUAUUU